AGUGAACGCUGGCGGUAGGCCUAACACAUGCAAAUCGAACGGCAGCACAGUAAGAGCUUGCUCUUACGGGUGGCGAGUGGCGGACGGGUGAGGAAUACAUCGGAAUCUACUUUUUCGUGGGGGAUAACGUAGGGAAACUUACGCUAAUACCGCAUACGACCUACGGGUGAAAGCAGGGGAUCUUCGGACCUUGCGCGAUUGAAUGAGCCGAUGUCGGAUUAGCUAGUUGGCGGGGUAAAGGCCCACCAAGGCGACGAUCCGUAGCUGGUCUGAGAGGAUGAUCAGCCACACUGGAACUGAGACACGGUCCAGACUCCUACGGGAGGCAGCAGUGGGGAAUAUUGGACAGUGGGCGCAAGCCUGAUCCAGCCAUACCGCGUGGGUGAAGAAGGCCUUCGGGUUGUAAAGCCCUUUUGUUGGGAAAGAAAAGCAGCAGGUUAAUACCCCGCUGUUCUGACGGUACCCAAAGAAUAAGCACCGGCUAACUUCGUG
rnacentral:rRNA from 1 species